AUUGAACGCUGGCGGCAUGCCUUACACAUGCAAGUCGAACGGCAGCGGACCUUCGGGUGCCGGCGAGUGGCGAACGGGUGAGUAAUAUAUCGGAACGUACCUUUCAGUGGGGGAUAACGUAGGCGAAAGUUACGCUAAUACCGCAUAUUCUGUGAGCAGGAAAGCAGGGGAUCGCGAAGACCUUGCGCUGAUUGAGCGGCCGAUAUCAGAUUAGCUAGUUGGUGAGGUAAAGGCUCACCAAGGCGACGAUCUGUAGCGGGUCUGAGAGGAUGAUCCGCCACACUGGAACUGAGACACGGUCCAGACUCCUACGGGAGGCAGCAGUGGGGAAUUUUGGACAAUGGGCGCAAGCCUGAUCCAGCCAUGCCGCGUGAGUGAAGAAGGCCUCGGUUGG
rnacentral:rRNA from 1 species